rnacentral:lncRNA from 1 species
CAUGGCAUAUCAGGGCCUCACCAUACGUCUCAUUGCAAUGAGCGUGUUUUAGGGCUUCACUGGUUUCUUCAUGCCUUGGUUCAUCCCUAAGGGUCCUAAGUAGGGAGUUAUCAUUACCAUGUAGGUGACCUGUUCAGUUUGUUGCUGUCUCUUUUGGCUGAUUGCAAUCCUGGCCAACUCAACCCUCUCUUCAGACUGCAGUUGAAACAUGAAAUCAUCUGGUAUCCGAAGUGUCAUUGGCCUUGA